rnacentral:rRNA from 1 species
UAAAGGGAGCGUAGACGGGAGAUUAAGUCAGUUGUGAAAGGCUGCGGCUCAACCGCAGCACUGCAGUUGAUACUGGUUUCCUUGAGUGCGGUUGAGGUAUGUGGAAUUCGUGGUGUAGCGGUGAAAUGCUUAGAUAUCACGAAGAACUCCGAUUGCGAAGGCAGCAUACUAAGCCGUAACUGACGUUGAGGCUCGAAAGUGUGGGUAUCAAACAGGAUUAGAUACCCCGGUAGUCCACACGGUAAACGAUGAAUACUCGCUGUUGGCGAUACAAUGUCAGCGGCCAAGCGAAAGCAUUAAGUAUUCCACCUGGGGAGUACGCCGGCAACGGUGAAACUCAAAGGAAUUGACGGGGGCCCGCACAAGCGGAGGAACAUGUGGUUUAAUUCGAUGAUACGCGAGGAACCUUACCCGGGCUUAAAUUGCAGAGGACAGGCUCAGAGAUGGGCUCUUCUUCGGACCUCUGUGAAGGUGCUGCAUGGUUGUCGUCAGCUCGUGCCGUGAGGUGUCGGCUUAAGUGCCAUAACGAGCGCAACCCUUGCCGUUAGUUACUAACAGGUCAUGCUGAGGACUCUAGCGGGACUGCCACCGUAAGAUGUGAGGAAGGUGGGGAUGACGUCAAAUCAGCACGGCUCUUACGUCCGGGGCUACACACGUGUUACAAUGGGAGGUACAGAAGGCUGCUACCCGGCGACGGGA